rnacentral:rRNA from 1 species
UACGAAGGGGGCUAGCGUUGCUGGGAAUCACUGGGCGUAAAGCGCACGUAGGCGGAUUGCUAAGUCAGGGGUGAAAUCCUGGAGCUCAACUCCAGAACUGCCUUUGAUACUGGCGAUCUCGAGUCCGGGAGAGGUGAGUGGAACUGCGAGUGUAGAGGUGAAAUUCGUAGAUAUUCGCAAGAACACCAGUGGCGAAGGCGGCUCACUGGCCCGGUACUGACGCUGAGGUGCGAAAACGUGGGGAGCAAACAGG